GCUCCAUCAUCCUCUUCUCGCCUCCUGUAUCGGUCUAGUUACCUCCCACGGUGGUUGAGACCAUCACCACCGAGGUUCCUAGUCAUCAGCGAGGUAUGACACAAGGUAACUCGACAAAACUCUGGAGGCCGGCGUUGGCAGCGAUUACGGAGGACGGUGUUGCUCGGAGAACUCCGUCUGAUUCUUAUGGUUUUGAUUACAGGUAAAUUCUUCCUUUUGGGAACAUUAUUAUGUGUUUCAAUAUCAAAUAAUUUAUAACAAACCAUGAAAACUGAUUCCGAUUCCGAAAUUUAGUAAAAUUAUGCUAAAUUUCAAUGAUGCUAUGAAACUAACAUAGGUUCCUAGAUUCACACUCAAGUACAUGCUCUAAAUCGUUCCCUGUAAAAAAUGUCACUCAAUCACCAGAAGCCCUAAAUCGUUCACUGUAAGAAAUGUCGCUCAAUCACCAGAAGCCCUAGAUCAUCACCAUCGAUCGUCUAUCAUCGAACAACAAGUACGUCUAUUUACCCAUUUUUCAAAAAAUAUCAAUUGCUCGAACAUGUAAGCUGAAAUCAGUUAAAGAACAAGAAUUUGAAUCAUGCUAUGUUGUUAACAGGUUUAAUUCCAGAAGUUAAUUGAAUCUCUCACUUGAUUGAUUAUUUAAAGUUGCAAUUCGAUUAAUAGUAUAAUGGCUUAAUCUCAUCUGAUGUGCUGUCUGCUUCUGUUGAUUGAGCUUUUGCUGAAUAUUUUCUGUUUGCUUUUAGAGAAAGAGAGAGUAGUCAAUUUAUGCUUGACUGUGAUUUCAUUAUGUUAUCUCCAUGAUUAGUUUAGUUAUCUUGCACAAAUGGUGUAUGUGGGGAUCUGAAUGAUAUGACAGCUUUGGGCUCUAUCUUUUUAUAAAUUUUGAGGGAAAAAGAAAAAAGAGAGGUGUUUAGUUUUUAGGUACCUGACGUUUAGCCAAGCUUUUGACAAGAGCAGGGGAGGCAGUCUUUGAUUUUGACGUUUAGCCAAGUUUAGUAUUUAUCAUAUAAUGGGUUUAGAUUUUGAUUUUCUGCAAAUCCUUGUGAUCAUCGACUUAAAAAACUCUUAUACUUAAGAUUUAACUCAGCCUGUAUACAAGACAAACAACAAUUGUCAUAUGAUUCUGCACCAACCAACUCAUUUGUAAUCAGCAAUUUGAAGCAUGAAUAUAGCCAAAGAACAGCUAGUAGCGCAUACACAUAAUAGUCACAUCCACACAGUGGAACUUUUACCUGUUAUCACAUGAGUAUCAGAAAUCAAGUCCCAGGAUUACUCGUCUUGGUACUAUUCUACCCCAAGUAUGCUUAAUUACAUAAUUCUGAUUACGAUCUGGUGCAUUACCACUACUCUAGCCCAAAUACGCUCAAUUGCAUAAUACUAUAAGAUUCAGUGCAUUAAUAUUGCUACCCAUGUUUUAUCUACUUAAUCUUACCUUAUCAAGGCAAUAACUGCCAAGUUAAAAGGAGGUUAUAGAUUAAAACCCUAUUUUGCCAUUUGAAAUGGGAGUUUGUAGAAGCAUAUAUACAUACAGACCUUAUCUCUGACCCUAGCAAAUGCCAUUUCUGCAUCUCCAUUGAACAGAUGUGUACCUAAAUAGAGGAGCCAAACCAUUUUUAUCUACUUCAUACAUGAUGAAUGGUAAGUUCAAAUAUUAUGCAAAGUUUUUAUGAAAGCAAACAUAAUGCAAUCUUUCUGUUCUUAAUAGAAAGGAUAUUACAUAGAUGCUUGGGAAAGGAUAUAAUCCCAGAAGCAUGACUACAGUGAAAACUCAAACAUGGAAGGAACAAAAAGAUAUGACCAGGUGAUGAUGCCUUGGUGUUGCUCUGCUACCAUGGAUUUGCAUCUGGUAGUUGCAUGAUCAUAGACAAGUUUCUGGUUUGUUUUAAGAUGCAUCUUUUCCACUUCUAGAUUAUCAUGAAGUUGUAGAAAGGGGAGAUGAACAAAUUUACAUGUAUAUUAAGCCUCUCGUAGAUAGAAUCAAGUAAGCAUUAUCCUUCUCAUUUACCGGGUAAGAUACUUGAACCUUGCCUUGCUUUUAACUAGGUAAUAUUCUCACUGUUGUUUACCUAAUAAGCAUUUGUUAAACUGGUCAAACUUAAGUUAUUAGCUUGUUUCAGUGUUAUUUUACCCUGUUGUAUGAUAAAUUAGUGUAAAUGAUCGAUACUACAAUAAGCUACUAAAUUUCAUGUGAUGAUCUAUUCGCAUUGCUUUCACGAUGGCUAGAAAUAUUCAUUCAACACCUGUUAAACGAAAAAGAUCCUGCAAACCAAUGAAAAGGUUCACUUUGUUUAGGAUCUAGAAUAUGUCACAGACCCUUUUCUCAGAAACACGUCUAAAUGAUGUAUCCAUUCAUAAUAAGUGGGACCAAAGCUCAAAUUUUUUGAGCAUAAAACGGAACACAAAAACACUAGGUUACUUGCCUCAAAGUAGCUGAAUCUUUCAACAAGCAUUACCGAUUAUUUUGGUUAAGCCUAUGCAAGAGUACUUCUUUCAUUGUCAUAUGAACUAAGUUUAUGUUAAAGUUGAUGUCCUUUUAUCACUUGCAAUUGGGAACUAAGGUGAUGGUUAGGAUGGCUUUUGCUGAUAUUACGUGUGUUGGUUCGAAAGCUGUGCGAGAAAAGUUCUCUGGCAUCAUCAGAUUUCAGGAGAUAUUGUCUAUGAACAUAAGUUGGUUGAUCUCCAAUACAAGUCGAGGCUAGCAAUAGAAAACGACUGCCCGUACAUUCUAUCAUCACAAGGUACACAAGUGCAUUAUUCACCUUAUCCUUCGAUGACAGAUAAUUUGAAGAACUGGUGGACUGUUGUCAACAUGGAGCCAAGGAGGAUUUAUAAAGUAGCAGAAGGUGCUACUGAAAUAGCUGAUGAUGAUAAUGUGGAUGAAAAACAUUUAUUUCAGGAGAGUGAAAUGUUGCACGGUACAAAAUCUAUCUGUAUAAAUGAGGAUAUUGAACGUGAUUGUCUUGUCACACCGGGACAAUUCAUCGACAUCUAUGACAAUACAAAUAUUAGAGGUUAGUGAUGAAGAAGAAGAGUUUGAAGAUACAAAUGACGAUUUGGAUAAGGAUAAUAAUGAUGAAUUUAUUCUAUCUGACGAGACGUCCGGGAGCGAGACAGCUGACUCACCAGAAGUGGCUUUUCCAAUGGCACAUCAACUUAAUGGAAUAAUUAAGAGCAUGAAACAAAUGCAAGAAUCAGAAAAAGCAAGAGCACUAUAAAGAUAGGGGAUUGUCCGACAAUCCUCUUAUCGGUGAGAUAGAGAUUUUUCGAAAGUUGCAUUAUAGAGAAAAUGAUGGUUAGGUUAAUGACUAUUCUCGCACUUCAUAUGAGAACAUGGUAGAGAUUAAAAGGCAAACUGAAUCAACAGAAAAUCCCCCGGGUGA